rnacentral:rRNA from 1 species
UUGAGAAGCUUGCUGGAGGUAUCAGAAGUGCUAAUGCUGACAUGAGUAACGAUAAUGGGUGUGAAAAACACCCACGCCGAAAGACCAAGGUUUCCUGCGCAACGUUAAUCGACGCAGGGUUAGUCGGUCCCUAAGGCGAGGCUGAAAAGCGUAGUCGAUGGAAAACAGGUUAAUAUUCCUGUACUUCUGGUUAUUGCGAUGGAGGGACGGAGAAGGCUAGGCCAGCUUGGCGUUGGUUGUCCAAGUUUAAGGUGGUAGGCUGGAAUCUUAGGUAAAUCCGGGAUUCUAAGGCCGAGAGCUGAUGAUGAGUUAUCUUUAGAUGACGAAGUGGUUGACGCCAUGCUUCCAAGAAAAGCUUCUAAGCUUCAGGUAACCAGGAACCGUACCCCAAACCGACACAGGUGGUCAGGUAGAGAAUACCAAGGCGC